GCGAAGGUGGCGGAAUUGGUAGACGCGCUAGGUUCAGGUGUUAGUGUCUUAACGGACGUGAGGGUUCAAGUCCCUCUCUUCGCACCA
rnacentral:tRNA from 1 species